rnacentral:rRNA from 1 species
AGUGAGCUACCCAUGGCCAGGGUGAAGCGAGUCUAAACGCUCGUGGAGGCCCGAACCUUUAGCUGUUGCAAAAGCUUGGGAUGAGCUGUGGGUAGAGGUGAUAUGCCAAACGAACUUGGAGAUAGCUUGUUCUCCCCGAAAUAGCUUUAGGGCUAGCGUCACGCGUUUAGUACUGGAGGUAGAGCACUGGAUGGGCUAGGGGGCUUAUCGCUUACCAAACCCAACCAAACUCCGAAUGCCAGUACUCCAGAGCGUGGCAGUCGGACUACGGGAGAUGAGUUUCGUAGUCGAGAGGGAAAGAGCCCAGACCAUCGGCUAAGGUCCUUAAGUCUGAGCUAAGUGGGAAACGAUGUGGGACUGUUGAGACAGCCAGGAGGUUGGCUUAGAAGCAGCCAUCCUUUAAAGAGUGCGUAACAGCUCACUGGUCAAACGGUCCUGCGCGGAUAAUUUAACGGGGCUCAAGCUCAGCACCGAAGCCAUGGGUUUCGGUCACCUGCGGGUGACCGGAGCGGUAGGGGAGCGUUCUGUCAGCGGUGAAGGUCGACCGUGAGGACGGCUGGAGCGGGCAGAAGUGAGAAUGCAGGCAUGAGUAGCGUAAAACACGUGAGAACCGUGUUCGCCGUAAGUCUAAGGUUUCCGACGGAAGGUCAAUCCGCGUCGGGUUAGUCGGUCCUUAGCCGAGGCCGAAAGGCGUAGGCGAUGGACAUCCGGUCAACAUUCCGGAACCACCUAAGUGGAGCGAUGGGGGGACGCAGCGAGGUAGGCCAGCCUGCGAUUGGUAGUGCAGGUGGUAAGUGUGUAGGCGUUGAUGUCUGUAGGAAAAUCCGCAGACGGAGCUGAGGCACGAUGCCGAGCCCAAGAGGCGUAAGUGGUUGAGCCUUGUUGCCAAGAAAAACCUCUAAGCGUUGAAACUCGGGUGACCGUACCGCAAACCGACACUGGUAGACGGGUAGAGAAUACCAAGGCGAACGGGAGAACCCUCGUUAAGGAACUAGGCAAAUUAACCCCGUAACUUCGGGAGAAGGGGUGCCUACUGAUGUGAAGUGUAUACUCGCGGAGCAUUGGGAGGUCGCAGUGAAAUGGCUCUGGUGACUGGUUACCAAAACCACAGGUCUCUGCAAAGCCGUAAGGCGAUGUAUAGGGGCUGACACCUGCCCAGUGCCGGAAGGUUAAAGGGAGGGGUUAGUCUUCGGACAAAGCUCUGAACUGAAGCCCCGGUGAACGGCGGCCGUAACUAUAACGGUCCUAAGGUAGCGAAAUUCC